rnacentral:tRNA from 1 species
GUCUUGUUAGCUCAGCUGGUAGAGCAUCUCACUUUUAAUGAGGAUGCCGAUGGUUCGAAUCCAUCACAGGACACCA